ACAGACAGACAGGCAGACAGACAGGUCGCAGCGUCACAGCCCUGUGUGUCGGUCGGGACCUAGCGUUAGCUGCGGUGUAAGCUGCGGGGGAGAGGCGGUUCUUGAAGGCGUGGAAACCCACUUGACGUUACCGAUAACGGGAUAUCGAUCCCAAGUGAUCGGUGCCGAUGAAACGACCCGUCUCGUGUGGACCCGGAGGAGAAGAAGAGACUUUUACAGUCACACGGUUCUUCAGAUACAACCGGAAGGACCCACCAGAGCCCGGAUGUGUGGACUAACGUGUUGAAGAGGACUUUGUAGAGGGAGACGGACCCGAACGGAGCCGAGCGACACCGAGCGGGUCCGAGUGAGCGAAGCGUUUUUAACGGAGUUGUCUGGAGGAAACGUUUCUGUGAGCUUGUGAAGAUGUCUAAAGUCCAACAGCUGAGAUGUUUAGUCAACCAGCGACUAACUGCGGCUGCGCAAGAGAUCUUUGGUCUGUUUGAAAGAACGAUAGCAGAGUACGAGGAGGAACUUUGUAGUUCCAGAGAGGAGAACGAGCGACACCGGAAACGACUGGACGCUGUGUUCAACCCGGAAGUCCGGUUACACAGAGCAGUAGACCCAGAACCCCCCCACAUUAAAGAGGAACAGGAGGACCCAGAGCCCCCCCACUUUAAAGAGGAACAGGAGGACCCAGAGCCCCCCCAUAUUAAAGAGGAACAGGAGGACCCAGAGCCCCCUCACAUUAAAGAGGAACAGGAGGACCCAGAGCCCCCCCAUAUUAAAGAGGAACAGGAGGACCCAGAGCCCCCCCAUAUUAAAGAGGAACAGGAGGACCCAGAACCCCCCCACAUUAAAGAGGAACAGGAGGAACUCUGGACCAGUCAGGAGCGAGAGCAGCUUCAAGGGCUGGAGGAGGCUGGUCUCAAGUUCUCAUUCACUGUAAAGAGUGAAGAUGAUGAAGAGGAAGCUCAGUCCUCUCAGCUUCAUCAAAGACAAACUGAACACAUGGAAACAGAAGCUGAUGGAGCGGAUUGUGGAGGACCAGAAUCAGACAGGAAGUUAGAUCCAGAAAGACAUCCAGGACCAGAUACUGAUGAGACUGAGGACAGUGAUGAUUGGGAAGAGACUCAGGAACCUCAGUCAGAUGUGAACCCUCAAAACAAAGAAGUACCUGUAAGUGAUGUGAACUGUAGUACUGGAAAUACAUCAAUCAGCUCACCUGAAUGUGCUGGAAGCUUUGACCACAAGGGACAUCUGGAGAAACCCACUAGCUCCAAAACAGGAGAGAAACCAUUUCAAUGCUCACUUUGUGACAAAAGAUUUGGAUUCAAUAAGACUCUAAAGAGACACAUGCCUGUCCACACAGGAGAGAAACCAUUUAGUUGUUCAGUGUGUGGUAAAACAUUUACGCGUAAGCGAAACCUAAACCUUCACAUGACUGUCCACACAGGAGAGAAACCAUUUAGUUGUUCUGUGUGUUGUAAAACAUUUUCACAUAAGGGACACCUGAACGAUCACAUGUUUGUCCACACAGGAGAGAAACCAUUUAGUUGUUCAGUGUGUUGUAAAACAUUUUCACGUAAGGUAAACCUGAACUAUCACAUGGUUGUCCACACAGGAGAGAAACCAUUUAGUUGUUCAGUUUGUAGUAAAACAUUUACACAAAAGGGUAACCUGAACGCUCACAUGACUGUCCACACAGGAGAGAAACCAUUUCAAUGCUCGCUUUGUGACAAAGCAUUUGGAUUCCAUAGGGAUCUAAAAAGACACAUGCCUGUCCACACAGGAGAGAAACCAUUUAGUUGUUCCAUGUGUAGUAAAACAUUUACACAAAAGAGAUACCUUAAUGACCACAUGUUUGUACACACAGGAGAGAAACCAUUUAGUUGUUCAGUUUGUGAUAAAACAUUUUCACAAAAGCAAAUUCUGAAACGACAUUUAAUUAUCCACACUAGAGAAACUAAUUAGUCGUGGGGUUUCUCAACAAGAUUUCUCUUGUCUCGGUUAUACAAACAGAGUCUCUAUAUAAACAUGGAUAAACACUUAAAAACUGUCAGGCUGAUACAGACUCCAACAUAAGUGUAUUCAGCUGAGAUUAAGCUUCACAUCAAUUUAUAUUAUUUUAUAUGAGUUUCUCUGAUAUUGUCUUAUGCAGUGGUCACCAACCUUUUUAAGGCCAAGAUCCCUGACCUUUGACCUCUGCCUUGGUGACAGGUAAGAUCUCCCUAUUGAGGCGUUGAGAGAAACAGACUUUACAAUUUGAGGCUUUUUAUUUGGCCUCAUUGACUGAAACACUUUGGUCCAGCUUUCAAAUGGAUGUGACCAAGAACAAACUAAAUGACUUCAUUUUAGUGCAACAUAAAAAGUUUUUAAAAAUGUAACUGCACAUAAUAUGAACAGGAUGAACUCCCAAUAUGAACUGUUGUAUUUAUCAACUGAAGCUACAACACAACACUGACAACAUGCUCAGUCAGUUACUAAUGUAAGUUCAGUUCAGCUCUGUGUCCUCACAGGAGUCAUGUGACUCCAGUCUGUGAGCUGUCUGUGACUGAACACCUGUGAAUGCCUUGGUCAUCAGCACAGACAGACAGUCUGUGAGCUGUCUGUCAGUAAUUCGGUUCCUGGACUUUGAUUUGGUGAUUUGCUGAACUCCACUUACGCGUUUUUCGGGACAAAUGUGUCCUUCAUGAAAGUUGUCUCAUCGGACUUCGUUCUGAACUUCAACUCUACAGACAUUCAGAUUUAAAUCUGAUGAUUUUAAUCCGUCUGAAGUUGCUUUCGCGUUGCCUGUGGAUUCUGUGGAUUGUGCACACGUCUCUUCAGUUGCAUGCCCUUAUAAGGAGCGGGCGGGACGUUUCUGUAUGCUAAUCCAGGUGCACGACAACCUCUUUGGGGGAGCACAGCUGAGAACACUUCGGCUAUGGAAGAACCCAUGUGCAGGCGUUCAUGAAUCAGGAGGAUCUUUUCUGACGUUGGUCUUCUGAAGUCCGUAAGAAAACAUUCCAGAAGACACUUUAGAAAAUGUUUCUGAAUUUAUUUAUAUUUGAUUUUGGAGAGCGACAGGAAAAGUCUUUAAAUGAAUAAAUAUGGUCUUAUGAUUCAUGUGUUAUGUGUUGUCAUGUAAAUAUGAAUUUAAAUGGUUUUCCAUUGUCAAAGUAUUUCAUGUCCUCUAUGCAGCACUGUGGUUUGAGCUGAAUUCUCAUCGGUGAUGAAACUGAGGAACAUUUGUAACCUUCUUUCUCUUCAGCAACGUUUCUCUUCAGUUUAAACUCAAUACUUCCUUCAUUUAGUUUUACUUCAGUUCAAUGUUGUUCUUCCAUAUUUGUCCCAGAGUUUGUAACCAAGCUGCAGCAGACGUUUUUUCUUUUGAAACUAAAUAUGUGUGUUCAUGAUUAAUGUUUUAAUGGAAGUUACAUUUAUAAUGUGUACGUGAAAUGUGAAAUGAAUUGGUUUCAUUUAUGAAAUGUAUUGUUCACUGAUAUGAUUUCCACCCUGUUAUCUGAGUGUAAUUUAUGAUAAUUAAAUGAAAUCAACAAAUA